CUAAUACUCUCUCCGUCAUGAAUUACUUAUCAUAGAAAUGGAUGUAUCUAGACGUACUUUUAGUUCUAGAUACAUCCAUUUAUGUGACAAGUAAUUCGUGAUGGAGGGAGUACAAA
rfam:Triticum aestivum genome assembly, contig: Triticum_aestivum_CS42_TGACv1_scaffold_434626_5DL